GGAGGACAGACGCAGCGCUGGGCGGUCAGCGCUGCCCACCUGCCGCGGGGAAGCCCAGGCCGGCCGAGCGCUGCUGUGAGCAGGAACAGACCGCUCGUAAACGGCCCGGCCAUUACCCUUUAUGCGUGCUUGUUCUAUGUCAGCAGUUCACGUUUUGGCACCAGAUGGAGGCUUUCUUUUGGUGAAAUGCCACCGUGUCAUUCAGCCGAGCUUUGAGCCUUUGAAUGUUCGCGCAGGGAUUUUUAGGGAGCAGAUCCAGAGAGCUGGACUGCCUCCUCUGCAGUCUGGACCGUCUGCGUCUUUACAGAGCACCUCCCACCGUGAAGCACAAGGCCCCUCCCUGCUCACUGGAAUGAAAUGAUCGUCCUAAGAGGUCAACUUGCUUAAUUAUAUUUAAUUCCCCCAACUUUCUCCUGUGGCAGGAGGUAAAAUGCCACUGGAUAUGGCUUUUCUCUUGAAAGUACGUGGAAGAGCUGUGUUGGAGGGUCAGAAUAAGUGGUGUGUCUAUCCCUAGUUAGAGGAGGUCGCCUUUCAGUUGUGGUGGACUGAGGCCAUCGGCCACCAGAACAAGCCAUCUCUUGCUUUACUGUAGAACCAGCUGUAACAUCUAGAACGUGUUGCUCCUCUUUUCCUAAGGACUCAGAAUAUACCCACGAAGUUACUUCAAAUAGAGUCUAUUGUAAUCGUCAAAUAAGCCGAAUGUCGCUAAAUAUACCCGCUGUUAUUUUAGUCUUUAUUUGUAUAUGAUGAUUUAAUUUUCAUUGACUUGGAUGUGCUGUAGUGUAAAGCGCUCUGACUUCCCACCGCGGGUGGAGAGGGAACGACGAUGCUGAAGCGCACAGAGCCGUCACCGGGGGCGGGUUGACUCGAAGCAUGCAGGCAGACAUACGGGCCUCAUGUGUGCCCACCAUCCAAGGGAGAGGAGAAGCCGAGAGAGGAAGCCUGCACUGGAAGAAGGAAAGAGACAACGAGACAGAGAGAGGCCCACGCAGUCUGUGUGGAGAAAGGAGAUUUGAUCAGAGAAAUCACAAAGCAGGAUCCAGACGCCCUGACAGCUACUGGGCAGUUACUGAGACUCAUUCUUAUCAACUGAGGUGGAGCACAAAAUUAAGCAAUACUAAGGCGAGGCCAAUUCUAGGAUAGAUAUAUGAAAUGACAGAAAACUAUUUGUUUUACCUUUUUUUCCUCCCUGUGUGUGAUGCAUUUAUUUAUAUUUGAAAUGGAACGCAGUAAUUUAUCUUAUCUUUAUUCUACACCUGAAGUCAUCCUCUUCCUCCUCAAAUUAGCAUCUCCUCCUGAAUUUUCUCUCUCAUUUGGGGCUCCUUUGGAGCGAGGCCCUCCAACUUGAACCCCUGAAAAUCUAAGAUAGCUACGAUCCUGCUCACUCCGUAACAAGGCUCCCUAAUUGUUUUUUCGUGAAGAAACAACACUGAUGUUCCAGUCAAGACAUAACAUUGCCCCGGGAAGCAAUUAUUAUUAUUUUUUUAAUAUCAGCUUUAUUAAGAUAUAUAUAUAGGGGCCGGCCCCAUGGCCGAGUGGUUAAGUUCGUGUGCUCUGCUUGGGCAGCCCAGGGUUUCACUGUUCACUGGUUUGGAUUCUGGGCACGGACAUGGCACCACUCAUCAGGCCAUACUGAGGUGGCGUCCCACAUGCCACAACUAGAAGGACACACAACUAAAAAUAUACAACUAUGUGCUGGCAGGUUUUGGGGAGAAAAUGUAAAAAUAAAAUAAAUUAAAAAAUAUAUAUAUAUAUAUACAUGUAUCUUAUAAUAUAUAUAUGUAUCAUAAAAUUCACCAUUCUUUAAAGUGUACAAUUUAGGAGUAUUUAGUAUAUCCACAGAAUUGUGCGACCAUCAUCAACAUCUCAUUGUAGAACAUCUUUAUUACCCCCCAAAAAACCCUGUACCCUUUGGUGGUCACUCCACAAUCCCUCCAUCCCCACCCCUGGCAACAGCUAAUCCACUUUUUCCCUCUAUGGAUUUGCAUAUUCUGGAUAUUUCCUAUAAAUGCAGUCACACACGUGGACUUUUUGUUUGGCUUCUUUCACUUAGCAUAAUGUUUUUGAGAUUCAACCGUGUUGUAGCAUGUAUUAGUAUUUCAUUCCUUUUUAUGGCUGAAUAAUAUUUCAUUCUGUACACCAAGUUUUGUGUACCCAUUCAUCAGUUGAUGGACAUUUCAAUUGCUUUUACUUCUUGGCUAUUGUGACUAAUGCUGCUGUGGACACUUAUUCACAAGUUUUUGUGUGGACAUGUGUUUUCAGUUCUCUUGGGUAUAUACCCAGGAAUAGAAUUAUUGGGUUACGUGACAACUCUACAUUGAACAUUUUGAGAAACUUCCAAACUGUUUUCCAAAGUGUCUGCACCAAUUUACAACUAAUGAAUGAGGGUUCCAAUUUCUCCACAUCCUCAUCAACAUUUGUUAUUACCUGUCUUUUUUAUUUUAGCCAUUAUUGUUAGUGUGAAUUUGUAUCCUGUUGUGGUUUUGAUUUGCACUUCCCUAGUGAAAAGUG
rnacentral:lncRNA from 1 species